UACAGAGGUCUCAAGCGUUGUUCGGAUUCAUUGGGCGUAAAGGGUGCGUAGGUGGCGUGGUAAGUCAGGUGUGAAAUCUCAGGGCUCAACCCUGAAACUGCACUUGAUACUGCGUGGCUCGGGUACUGGAGAGGAGACUGGAAUUUACGGUGUAGCAGUGAAAUGCGUAGAUAUCGUAAGGAAGACCAGUGGCGAAGGCGAGUCUCUGGACAGUUACCGACGCUGAGUGCACGAAAGCUAGGGGAGCAAACAGG
rnacentral:rRNA from 1 species